rnacentral:rRNA from 1 species
CCCUUAGAUGUUCUGGGCCGCACGCGCGCUACACUGAUGCAUUCAACGAGCCUAUCCUUGACCGACAGGUCCGGGUAAUCUUUGAAUCUGCAUCGUGACGGGGAUAGAUUAUUGCAAUUAUUAAUCUUCAACGAGGAAUUCCUAGUAAGCGCAAGUCAGCAGCUUGCGUUGAUUACGUCCCUGCCCUUUGUACACACCGCCCGUCGCUACUACCGAUUGAAUGGUUUAGUGAGAUCUUCGGAUUGGCGCCACUGCGGCUCAGCAAUGGGCUCGGUGGAUGCCGAAAAGUUGAUCAAACUUGAUCAUUUAGAGGAAGUAAAAGUCGUAACA